UACGUAGGGGGCUAGCGUUGUCCGGAUUUAUUGGGCGUAAAGAGCGUGUAGGCGGCCAGGUAGGUCUGCUGUGAAAACUCGAGGCUCAACCUCGAGAUGUCGGCGGAAACCAUCUGGCUAGAGUCCGGAAGAGGAGAGUGGAAUUCCUGGUGUAGCGGUGAAAUGCGCAGAUAUCAGGAAGAACACCGGUGGCGAAGGCAGCUCUCUGGGACGGUACUGACGCUGAGACGCGAAAGCGUGGGGAGCGAACAGG
rnacentral:rRNA from 1 species